UACGUAGGGGGCGAGCGUUGUCCGGAUUUAUUGGGCGUAAAGAGCUCGUAGGCGGCUUGGCAAGUCGGGUGUGAAACCUCCAGGCUCAACCUGGAGACGCCACUCGAUACUGCUAUGGCUAGAGUCCGGUAGGGGACCACGGAAUUCCUGGUGUAGCGGUGAAAUGCGCAGAUAUCAGGAGGAACACCUAUGGCGAAGGCAGCACUCUGGGACGGUACUGACGCUGAGACGCGAAAGCGUGGGGAGCGAACAGG
rnacentral:rRNA from 1 species